AGGAAGAGGCUUAAUCAAAAGCUUCCCCCAGGACCCCCCAGAUUCUCAAGCAAAACUGAAGGCAGACCGCUGGAGAGGGGUCAGAGAGAAAGAAAAGGGGAAUAUAUGUAAGGGGUUACUUGACCCAGGAAUCAUGGGCUUCUGGAACCCUAUAGCCCAAGCAAUACUGGUGACUGUGUGUGUGUGUGUGUGUGUGUGUGUGUGUGUGUGCCUGUACACACACACACACACACACACACACACACACACACACACAUGCAUUUUGCCUGGGAGAAUGACUGGCUUCUCAAAGGAGCCCUUCCAGUCCAGGUAAAGGGGCCCAGAUUUUAGGCUCAACAACCUGUGACCAGUGUCCCCUCCUUUCCCAUCUUUGGGCCAGAAAUGACCAUGAUCUGAGAUUCAGAUGUCCUGAGGUUUACCAGGACACCCUUCCUGCUUACUGUCCCCCAUGGGAGCCCGGACACCUGGCCCGGCCCUGCCCUGCCCAGGCAAACAUAUGCCCAGUCUAAUGCUCAGACUCUACUGGUGCUGGGUGUGGAAGAUGGAUUGGAGCUUCUCCCCCACACUUCAAACCUCUCCAUCCUGAAAACCGGAAGUUUGAUUGGCUUCCCCACACAAGGCCACUCCUGAGAAAGCAGCCUCGUCACUUCUGGCCCAGAGAGAUGGCUUCUGCAGGUUUCUGUGAUCCAGUUUCUCUACCUGGUGUCCUCAUUUUGGAGACAGGUCCUGUCAUCUGGUCAGUCCCAGUGGGCCAGGAAUCUGGAAGCCACCCCGGGUUCCUCGACUCCCAUCACCAUUUUUCAGCCACUUCAACAAGUGUGUGCUGAAGAACAGUCCGUACAGCACAAACCCCUGGCGUCUCAGGCUAGCCCACAGUGGCCUAGGGUGUGGCUCAACCCUCUGCCUCCUGUCCUACACCUUCUCUGUCAGUUCUUUGCCAAAAAUCUUUGUAUUUUAUUUUACUUUUUAAAUGUUAUUUUAAAAUAAUUUUUAAUAUACUUAUUUUGAAUAGAGACAGAGAGAAAUUGUGAGGGGAGGGGAAAUCGUGCAAGAGAGAAAGAGAGACACCUGCAGACCUGCUUCACUACUCGUGAAGCUUUCCCCCUGCACGUGGGGAUCAGGGGCUUGAACCUGGAUCCUUGUGCACUGUAAUGUGUGUGCUUAACCAGGUGUGCCACCGCCUGGCCCCUUUAAACAUUAUUUUAUUUGACAGGACAGAGAGAGAUUUAGGGGGAGGGGGAGACAGGAAAGGAGAGAGAUAAGACACCUACAGACCUGCUUCAUUGGCUCAUGAAGCUUUUUCCCUGCAGUGGGGGCCGGGGACUUGAACCCACGUCCUUGUAUACUGUAAUAUGUGCAUUUAACUAGGCGCACCACCACCUGGCCCCCAAAAAAUCUUAAACUAAGACUUUUAAAAAACAUGGAGUUAGGGUGGUCCGGGAGGUGGCGCAAAGGAUAAAGCACUGAAUUUUCAACCAUGAGGUCCUGAGUUCAAUCCCAGGCAGCACAUGUACCAGAGUGAUGUCUGGUUCUUUCUCUCUCUGCGUAUCUUUCUCAUAAAUAAAUAAAUUCUUAAAAAAAAAAAAACAUGGAGUUAGGGGCCAGAUGGUGGCACUUCUGGUUAAGUGCACAUGUUACCAAGCACAACGAUUUGUGUUCAAGCCCCUGGCUUGUAGGGAGAAAGCUUCACAGUGGUGAAGUAGUGCUACAAAUGUCUCUUUGUCUCUGUUGAUCUCUCUCUUUAUCCUCUUUCCCUCUCAAUUUCUCUCCAUCAAAUUAAAUUUUUUUAAAAAAACUCAAUAACAAAAUAAAAUGUGGAGUUUAAAAAACCAAAUUGCAAAUUAAAUUAUAACCAUGGGACAACUUUUCAGAAAAACACAGGAGCAACAUAAUUGACUACUUAUAUGAAUAGAGAUGUAUCCAGUUGAGUGCAUAGGUUACAAAGUACAAGGACCCAGGUUCAAGCCCUCUGGUUCUCAUCUGCAAAGGGGAAGCUUCAUAAGCAGUAAAGCAGUAUGGCAAGGAUCUUUCUUUUUCACUCUCUUUUUUAUUAUUAAUUUUUUAAUCUUACUGGAUAAAGACAGACAGAAGUCAGGAGGAAAGGGGAGGGAGAGAGGGAGAGAAACAGAGAGAUACCUGCAGCAUUGUUUCACCACACUGAAGCUGUACUACAGAGCUGCGUAUUGUAAUAGGUGUGCUCAACCAGGUCACCACCGCCCAGCCCCUUCACUCCCUCUCUGUCCCCUUUCCCCUCAAUUUUUCUCUGUUCUAGCAAGUUAAAAUAUAUAAAUUAUAUAAAGAUGUAAUGUACUUUUUAAGAAUGAAUAAAGACACGAUAAAACUGUGAAAUACAGACACAGGAACCUCUCUAAAGUCUUGGUCAUGGUGUCCCCAAGGGGGAAGCAAAGUGUCCCGGGUGGAGGUUCAAGGGUGGAGGUUGGGGGAAGGGAGCUUUAGUGUUAUCUGCACUAACCUGCUGAAUUCCUUCUUCAAAAUUCCAGAGCAAAGUUAACAAAAUGUUACAGUUGGCAAGACUGUUGGUAGUAGCAUCUCAAUAAAACCGUAAAUCCAGA